rnacentral:rRNA from 1 species
AGAACGAACGCUGGCGGCGUGGCUAAGGCAUGCAAGUCGAGCGGACCGAUUCAACGGGUAACUGGAGGAUCGGUUAGCGGCGGACGGGUGAGGAAUACAUGGACAACGUACCCCGGACACAGGGAUAGCGGCGGGCCCGCAAGGGUCCUUUGCGAAAGUGCCGGUAAUACCUGAUGACCCCGUAGGAUCGCAUGAUCCAGCGGGCAAAGCUCCGACGGUCUGGGAUCGGUUCAUGUCCUAUCAGCUAGUUGGCGGGGUAACGGCCCACCAAGGCAUCGACGGGUACCGGGUGUGAGAGCAUGAUCCGGCACAUCGGAACUGAGACACGGUCCGGACACCUACGGGUGGCUGCAGCAACGAAUAUUCCGCAAUGGGCGAAAGCCUGACGGAGCGACGCCGCGUGCAGGAAGAAGUCUUUCGGGAUGUAAACUGCUGUCAGGGGUGAGGAACACAAUGACCAGCCCCAGAGGAAGCCACGGCUAACUCCGUGCCAGCAGCCGCGGUAAUACGGAGGUGGCAAGCGUUGUUCGGAAUCACUGGGCUUAAAGGGCGUGUAGGCGGAGCGCAGGGUGCUGGGUGAAAUCCCCGGGCUCAACCCGGGAACUGCCCGGCAAACCGGCGCUCUUGAGGCAGGUAGAGGUGACUGGAACGACGGGUGGAGCGGUGAAAUGCGUAGAUAUCCGUUGGAACGCCGGUGGCGAAAGCGGGUCACUGGGCCUGUCCUGACGCUGAGACGCGAAAGCGUGGGUAGCAAACAGGAUUAGAUACCCUGGUAGUCCACGCCGUAAACGAUGCGCACUAGGUAUGGGGGGCUCUCACGCCAACCGUGCCGUAGAAAAAUUGAUAAGUGCGCC